GGGGUUGUAGUUCAAUGGUAGAGCGCUUCCCUCGCAAGCAUGAGGCCGUGGGUUCGAUCCUCAGCACCA
rnacentral:tRNA from 1 species